rnacentral:rRNA from 1 species
GAUGAACGCUGGCGGCGUGCCUAAUACAUGCAAGUCGAGCGAACAGACGAGGAGCUUGCUCCUCUGACGUUAGCGGCGGACGGGUGAGUAACACGUGGAUAACCUACCUAUAAGACUGGGAUAACUUCGGGAAACCGGAGCUAAUACCGGAUAAUAUAUUGAACCGCAUGGUUCAAUAGUGAAAGACGGUUUUGCUGUCACUUAUAGAUGGAUCCGCGCCGCAUUAGCUAGUUGGUAAGGUAACGGCUUACCAAGGCAACGAUGCGUAGCCGACCUGAGAGGGUGAUCGGCCACACUGGAACUGAGACACGGUCCAGACGCCUACGGGAGGCAGCAGUAGGGAAUCUUCCGCAAUGGGCGAAAGCCUGACGGAGCAACGCCGCGUGAGAGAUGAAGGUCUACGGAUCGUAAAACUCUGUUAUUAGGGAAGAACAAAUGUGUAAGUAACUAUGCACGUCUUGACGGUACCUAAUCAGAAAGCCACGGCUAACUACGUG